GCAUUUCAGUGUAGAAAGAGUCAAGGGAACUGGAAGUCAACAAACAGCACCAAGUAAUUUACUCAUGAUGGCACAGAAGUCUGAAGGUUAGUUUUCUCUGCUUCCCAAGUGUUGGAAAACACUUGUUCUGUUGCAGUAACAAAGAGUGCAUGCUAAUGUGAGUCAGCAUAGUACAGUCAUUCCCCAACUUUGGUGUAUGCACUCAGUUUGUAGUUGGGUAUAACACCAACAUUCAAAUUCUCUGGAUUCUCCUGCAAGAAUUGUUAUUUUUAGCAGUAAAUAUUUUGAUUUCCUUCAGCAUACCCAGGAGUAUCUAAAUAUCUGACCUGGUAGAUGAGUUCUAGAUCAAAGGAAUCAUCUGGAAUACAACCAUUGCAACAUGAACAUUAAUAUAACACUAACGGUUCUUGUAUUAAUGAGCAAAUUAAUUGUGGAAAGAACACUUUUUUUUUAAAUUGAGGCCAUUUCGGAUUCACAAAUUCAGUGUUUUGAUAUAAGGAUUGUGUGUCCUCCAUAAUCCCCUGUUCAGAGAAGGGGCCUCUGAAAAAAGUAUUUAUUUUUAGUCCCUUUAGUAGAAGCCAAAUCAAAGUAAUUUUUGCUUAUUUUUAUUGUCUGACAUAUUUGGCAGAGUAUUUUUUUCCCCAGCUGUACAAUCACAAUGUUAGACCUACUUAUUUUAUUUUUAUUUUUUUUACCACUAGCGAAGUGUUGUCAUCUCCACUUCAUAAGAAGCUGCCUUGUCCCUUCAUGGUCAGCUCAGGGAAAUAUAACUGCAAGCUGUCUCUGGAAAAGAGGAAAAAGACAAGUAGCAGUUUCUUCCUUGCCCCUGCAGUGCAUCAUAACCACCUUUCUUCUGUCCACUCUGCAGUCAUACGGCCUUACGGCAACACGGAGCAGUUUGCUGAUCCUGCUGGAAACUGGCUGCUUUCCCCUUGUGUUGUGGAGCAAGUUGUCUGCUGACCAGGCUUGCCUUGCAGCUGCAGGCCCCAUGCACUGGACACGGGGGAUGUUGCAUCUCAAAACAAAGGGCUGGGACAGAAGGGACAGCGGACUCAGGAAUUAUUCAACACUGAAGCACUGCACUCAGAAGGCACAAAGCAUCAGGAGGGAGAAGUCUGAAGACUUCCA
rnacentral:lncRNA from 1 species